CGAAAAGAAUAUUUUGAUUUUUGACUAUUAUAUUUUUCCUUAAUUUUUGUUUGUUGUUAAUUUCUUGGAUUAAGAACUAAUGUUAAUGCUUAUAUCCCAGUCAUACAACUAAAGCAGACACAUUUAUUAAAGCUGAAUACUUAGCUCUUUUUGGAAAUUAUUUUAAUGUGUUUUAUUAUAAGGAAGAUUUGGUAGUUUGGGAGACUUAGAUGUGACAAUAUAUAUUAUAAAAUUACUCUAACAUAAGGAUUAAAAUUUGGAUACCAUUCCCACCUUUUAAUAGCCUGUUCUUUCAUUUGUCUAGACCGAGAACUGCUGAAGCUAUUUAACAUCUUAAUUUGUUCCAGCCAGACAACUAUGGCUUCAGAUUUCACAGCAAGAGCAUAACUCAUGAACAGCGAAUCAAUAUUUCUAUGCUCUAUACGGUUAAGUAAAAAUGGGUUUCAUAUCAGUAAGCAGAUCAAAGUAAUGCUUACAUCUGUAGUUUUGUAGCUACCAGCACUGCAAUUUUAAUUGGUGUUGGGAUCCACAGUGAAUGGCUCUUGGUCCUUCAGAUACACUUGCAUGCAUGAAGUUAACAGGUGUGUUUCUUGUUCACAGAAGGUAACUAAUGCAGAAAUAUCUCUGGUUUAGAGGUUUAUACUGCACAUAUGGAGAGGGAAGAGUCCACGUUUCUGCAUCGAUAGCAAAUGCAUCUCUGAGCUGUGAUCUCACACUGAUUGCCAGAUGGCAGCAGGAAGCCCAGAGCGCAUGUACUGACAAACAGCGGGGGAAAACCAGCUGCACAGAGUGAUUGCACACUGCCAGCAAAGAGCCACUGAGCUGGAGCCCAGAGAGAGCCCUGAGAUACCUGCCAAGUCGGAAAACACAGGUGGGAGCAAGGGUCUGCACUUCUUUUCCAAAUGACACAAGAAAAAAUGGACAAGUUUUGACAUGUGCACAUAACCAGGACAAGUAGCUGUGAACUUGCUGUGCUCCUUAUUACUCUCUGUAAUAAAAAAUUUCCAAAUAGGCUAAUUAUGCA
rnacentral:lncRNA from 1 species